AACGCAUAUUGCACUCUCUGGUAAUUCCAGAGAGUAUGCCUGUUUGAGGGUCAUUUGAACAUAAGUUCUAAAUUUCUUAGAAAAAAUGGGUCUUCCAAAUUUUAUGGUUACCUAAAAUACAAGACAUGUCCAUUUUUUUGGGUUACGUGAUACUUGUUAUUCGUGACUUUUCGAGAAAUAUGCAGGCGUGUUGUAAUUUUGCAAAAACGAAUCGAUUUUGUUGUCAUUUGUCUCUGCAAAAUAUAAUAAAUUGAAUCUUGACCUCAAAUUAGGUAAGAGUACCCGCUGAACUUAA
rnacentral:misc_RNA from 1 species